GCCACACACAAAACAUGGGUUAGGUGGGAGGCCAGCAGGAGAGCGUCCAGGGGUGAGGGCUCCCUGACCCUUAGAGGCUGAGCAGGCGGGUCACGUGGCCCCGACUUCUAAAAGACCCUGUAAUUUUCAGUUGACUAAUGUGGGGAGGGGGGGGAAUCAACACGUGAAUCACCUUUCAAGUACUUAAUUUAAUUAGACAAGGAAAAUGAGGCUUCUUUAAAAUUCUUACUUGGCAUUAACUUCUGUCACAAAGCAGCCUAGCGUAAUUGGUAAAAGUGAAAAAGUGAUUACUGAGGCUUAAGCUUAUUUAUCACAGCUGCUGCACUUUUACAAAGUGAGUUUUAUGGUGCUAAACCCUCCGCCAGAGCAGUAUGGACCCCGGAGCAUGGAUUCCAGUCUUUUCAUAAACCCCCUCUAAUAAGCUGCGGUAAUAGGACGGGUGGGGAGGGGACUCUAUUAAACAAACAGCCCGGCUGGGGCUCACAGCUUGUCUGCUGCCCUGGGUACCCAUGCUUUCCCCUCCUGUCUCCUCUGUCACUUUAGGAUCAUACAGUAUGGCAGGUCGGGGAGUCCUUAGCUCAUCUCCUCUAAUCCGUGGCAAAUGACUUGUCCUAAGUCACACUGUUGGCUACCUGCAAAGCCAGAUACACCCAGGCACGUGAACCCCAAGUCAUGGAUCCUUCUGUCUCUAACAAGCUGAUCAGAAAGAAUGGGGAGCUGGAUCUUGGGAGCCAAAAUUAAGGGUGUUGUGCAGCAGCCCUUUAUAUGUCUGUCGUUCUUCUGGAUCCUUCCUGUUUUCCACCGUGUUAGUGAUUUUCGUUCACUGCCUCUUCUCUCCAAGGGCCUAAAGUUUUGGAAGAUGGGCCACGAUCCCAUUUCUCUCAGACUCUUACUGGAGGGCUGACUGCCGUGCACCGCCUGGAAGAGGCACUGGGUACAACUGUGUGAAAGAAAGAAACCUCUCCAUGUUAAUCACACUAACUGAUGGUCCAUAGGAGUGUUUCCUCAACUCGAUGGAUGAAAAUGAAGCCUGGAUACCCGUCUAAAGGGGGUCUCAGUGUGUCCCUCGACCAGCAGCAUUGGCAUCACUUGCUGGAAAUGAAGAUGCUUGGGCUCCACCCCAGACCUGCUGCAUCAGAUACUCUGGGAGUGGGGCUUGGCAAUAUUUUAAUAAGUCGUCUGGAGGAUUCUGAUUCUCACUCAAAUUUGAGACCCACUUGGACUGAGGUAUACAGUGGAGUACCAUAAUUCCACACUCCGAAAACAGUGUAUAGUUUGAAUUUAGAACAUGGAAGUCCUUGGCCAGGCACGGCUCUACCUGAUUUCCACACCUCCUGGCUUCCCCACAGCAGCCCUGCUUCUUUUUCCCCAUAGAUAUGUAUUAAAUGAGCAAGCAGUCCUCUAAACUGGAUCAUUUCUAAACGUUCCGAGGACUUUGUGAACAUGCUCAGUAAAGACCAUGGGGUUGGAGUUUGUGAACCCUAUAUAAGGGAUCUCCCAUGUAGAACUCAACUGGGUUCCUUUGGUAGGAAUACCAAGGGACUCCUCUCAGGAAGGAGCUGUUUCAUAUUGUUUCCAGGGGUCCGGUCUGGCUGGAGAAAUAUGUCAACUUAGGUAUCGUGAGAAGAUGAGCUACUAAGCAGGCAUUUUAUUAUUAUGCACUAGAACACAAGGUUGAUUAAAGCACUUCUUAAUUUUAAAAAUUAUUAAAUGGGGAAGGAAAUAAUAGUAUCAGUUAAUCUCAGGUCAGGUUGUUCUUUUCUUUUUCUUUUUUCUUUUUUUAACCUCUCUAAUAAGUUCCUAAACAUCAAGCAUUUCCAUGAAGCUAGACAGUUACUUAAUUAUAGGCUUGGUGAGUAAGUGCUUCUACAGAAUUCUCAAAGGGAUCGCCAGGAUCCUCGUAUAAUAUAGGGUUUAGAUGUUCUGCACUGGAGCCUAUAUACUAGCCCUUUUAUCUUAAGGCACAAAGAUGCCCAGAAGUGGAUGCAACAUGGGGUUACAUACCUUGGGGAGCCAGUCUGGCUCAAGGAUGAGGCAAGCAACUGAAGGCUGUGAUCCAAGGGGCCAGCACCCUCACCCUGCUCGUCAUAGGCCACAGCAGGGCCUGCUCUGGCCACAGUGGCCAUCCAGGGGCCUUGCAGGGCAAGGGAGCCUCUUCGGGGCAGUAACAUCAUGGCUCAUCAUCCAGGAUAGUCAGCACUGCUGAUGUUCCCCUUGUGGCUCUGAGUUUCUCUCUGAGUAACAGGAG
ensembl:lncRNA